AUGCUAUCCCAAGUGGACAACGAGUACAGCAGAGGAGGAGGUGAUGUGGCUCAAUCGAUUGGGAGGCUGAGGCAGCAUAUGCAAUAUAAGAGGUAUCUUGUUAUGAUUGAUGAUCUAUGGAGUGUUCAAAUCUGGGGGAUAAUGAAACACUGUUUUCCAGAGAACAAUCUCGGGAGUCGGAUAAUCACUAGAACAAGAAUUGAGGUUGUUGCAAAAACAGCUGUAGGUGCCCAUGUUUACAAGACUUGUCUUCUUGAUGAAGCCGAUGCUGAAGCCUUGUUUUCCCAAAGAACUUUUGGGAGUGUGGGUGGGUGCCCUGCCCAUUUGAAGAAUGUCUCAGCUCAAAUCAUGAGAAAGUGUGGUGGUUUGCCACUUGCUAUUGUGAGCGUGGGUGGCUUAUUAGCCAGCAAGGCGCACACAAGAGAUGAAUUUGAGCGGUCAGGACUGGAAUGGCGGACAAAUUCAGAGCUAGCAGGGAUGAAACAGAUCAUCAAACUCAGCUACAGUGGUCUUCCUGCCAAUCUCAAGGCGUGUCUAUUACACCUAAUUCCCGAGAACCACGGGAUCGAAAUAGAGCGUCUGGCAAGGCGUUGGGUUGCAGAAGGAUUCGUCAGUGAACAGCAUGUCACUAGCUUAGAGGAAACAGGGAGAAACUACAUCAGUGAGCUCAUUGACAGUAACUUAAUCCAACCAUCACAGCUGAAUCAUGAUGGCACCCAUAGGAGCUACGUUCUUCACCCAGUAAUACACGAUUUCAUCAUUUGCAUGUCCAUGGAAGACAAUUUUGUUGCUCUGGUACAUGCUCAACAGCAAGAUGUCCACCAGGCAAUGGCACUGUACGACGGCUAUCUUUGCUGA
rnacentral:rRNA from 1 species